AUGCGGCUUGGGCUCAGCUGGGUUUUCCUUGUUGCUAUUUUAAGAGGUGUCCAGGGUGAAGUGCAGCUGGUGGAGUCUGCGGGAGCCGUGGUGAAGCCUGGGGGGUCUCUGAGACUCUCCUGUGUAGCCUCUGGAUUCACCUUCAAUAGCUAUGACAUGCACUGGGUCCGCCAGCCUCCAGGGAAGGGGCUGGAGUGGGUCUCAUACAUUAGUAGUGGUGGUGGAAGCACAUACUAUGCAGACUCUGUGAAGGGCCGAUUCACCAUCUCCAGAGACAAUUCCAAGAACACACUCUAUCUGCAAAUGAACAGCCUGAAAUCUGAGGACUCGGCCGAGUAUUUCUGUGCGAGAGACACAGUGAGGGGAGGUGGCCUGUGCCAGGUUCAGCUGGCGGAGUCUGGGGGAGGCUUGGUGCAGCCCGGGGGGUCUCUGAGCCUCUCCUGCAAAGCCUCUGGAUUCACCUUCAUAAACUACAGCAUGAACUGGGUCCGCCAGGCUCCAGGGAAGGGGCUGGAGUGGGUGGCAGGAACGAUAGGCGAGCAGGUGACCUUGCUGUUUCAGGGGACACAUCCGCCGUGA